CAGCAGCCGCGGUAAUACGAAGGGGGCUAGCGUUGUUCGGAAUCACUGGGCGUAAAGGGUGCGUAGGCGGGAUCUUAAGUCAGGGGUGAAAUCCCGAGGCUCAACCUCGGAACUGCCUUUGAUACUGGGGUCCUUGAGUCCGGAAGAGGUGAGUGGAACUGCGAGUGUAGAGGUGAAAUUCGUAGAUAUUCGCAAGAACACCGGUGGCGAAGGCGGCUCACUGGUCCGGAACUGACGCUGAGGCACGACAGCGUGGGGAGCAAACAGGAUUAGAUACCCGCGUAGUCCCUGUCUCUUAUAC
rnacentral:rRNA from 1 species